AAGCUGAAGACCUGGCGGCAGAAGAGACACCUGGCCGGGCUGCAGGACACCCAGAUCAGGCAGGAGCAGCGGCGCUGGGAGGAGGACUGUGAGCUCAUUGAGUUCAAGGGCCAGUUUGAUGAAUACCUGGAGAUGGUCCAGGUUCAUCACCAUCUUCGUGGCAGCCUUCCCACCGGCACCCCUAUUUGCUCUGCUCAGCAACUGGGUGGAGAUCCGACCGGACACCCAGAAGUUCUGUGUGAGUACUGGUGGCUGGCGGCUGAGCGGACCCGGCUGCUCCUGCUUGAAGCCAUUGCCUACCUUUCUGUCAUCGUGAAUGUGAGGAGAGGGGGGCAAGGAGGGAAAUACAGGGUCAGAGGGGAAAAUGAAGAUCAGAGACUGGGAGGAGGCUCGGGAAUAGGGAAAUGGGGGCUGAGGGUGGAAAUCAGGGUGAGAGAUUGGGAAAUAGGGGCAGAAGGCUAGGAUCCUCGGGCACAGGCUCCUGCCUGCGGGAGUGGGGCUGGACCUGGGCGGGGAUGAGUUAGGAGACUGGGCCCUGAAAGGCGGGACGGCCUUCCUGUGAAGCCCCCUUGCAGGCUUUCCUCAUGGCCUUCACCUCGGACUUCCUGCCACGUCAACUUCAUGCUGGCGCCCACACCCCCUGCUUACCUUGCCUAGGGCAACCACACGCCCUGCAGGUACAAGGGCUUUCGCGACGCUCAGAGGAAUCUCACCCUCUUCUACUGGAAGCUGCUGGCUGUGCGUCUGGGCUUCAUCAUCGCCUUCGAGGUAGGCUUAGCCAUCUGUGCGUCGGACGGACCCGGGUCCAAGUUCAGGCUGUGCGGCUGACUGGCUGUAAACGGGGUAUAUUACAGAAUAGGAUCUACUUCAUAGGAUCGCUCUGAAGAUUCAGUGGCAAGUACUUGCACAGCAUAGUGGGUGCGCAGUGAAUUAAUGUCACGACUACUACUAUUAUUGUCUCUUGGCAACAGCCCUGGAGCUCCUUCCAGCUUUGCUCAAGAUCCUCUUUCUCUAGCUCUGAUUCUAACAGGGUCCCUAGUGUUAAGGGGUUCGAAUUAUACCUCCCUGUCUUUGGGCAAAUGAGGACCUCUUUAUGCUUCGGUUUCUUUACAGGUAAAACAGGGGAAGUAAUUUACUCACCUCCUAGAGUUGUGAGGAUUAACUGAAUGAAUACCCGGAAACCCUCAGAAUAGUGCCUUGCACUUAGUAAACGCUCGGCAGAUUAAGAUUGCUAAAGCAGUCCUUCUCUUUGGCCCCUCCUUCUCCCCAGCACGUGGUGUUCUUCCUGGGCCUCAUCGCCUGGCUCGUGCCCGACGUGCCAGCCGCCCUGGCUACCAAGAUAAAGCGCGAGCGUUAAGUUACCUGGCCAAGCAGGCGCUGGAGGACGACAGGGAGGCGCUACUUUCGUGUCCUGCUCUAUGUGCAACGCUGACAAUAAUCCUCUCUGCGCCCCAGCGUGCCACCUCUCCAUGGACAUCUGGUCCCCAACCACUCUGUGCAGUGUCUCCUCAUUAUGUGACUGUGCUCUGGGGGGCGAAGUGGAUAUGAAGGAGUGAAGGGACCUAACCUCUCUGAACUGAAUGGUCAGCAGUUGGCCCAGGUGGGUGGCAGAGCAAAGGAGGAAUGGACUGUGGGCCACCUCCCGCCCUCCAGUCCCAUCUGGCUGGGCCACCUGGCACUGCCCACCGCCCAGUAGCUGUGUGCCAGCAGGAGAGUCUGUCCUUUGCGGAGUUGCCCACCCUGCAGCCCCCGAGCCCUGUGUGUCUGGAUCUCUUCCCCGUCGCUCCAGAGGAGCUGCAGGCACCUGGCAGCCGCUGGUCUCUGGGGACCCCUGCUCCUCUCCAAGGGCUGCUAUGGCCACCAUCCCCAGGAGGCCCAGACACCGAGAUCUCUACCGGUGGGGGAAUGCGGCCCAGCAGGGCUGGCAGCUGGCCACACUGUCCUAGUGCCCAGUCCCCAGCACUGGAGGGACCCUGGAGUUCCCAGCACCUACAGCCACAGCGCCGGGCCAGCCACGGCUCGGAGAAGAAGUCAGCCUGGCGCAAGAUGCGGGUGUACCAGCAAGAAGAGGCCCUUGGCAGCCCUGAGGCCCAUGCUGUCUUCCUAGAGCCAAGCCAGGCGACAGAACAGGCCCUGAGCACAGCAGAGCCUAGGCCGCUGGAGCUGCCUGGGCCCACCCGAGUGGGCCUCGAGGGGCCUGAGCGGAGGCGCUUCUCAGCCUCUGAGCUGAUGACCCGGUUGCACUCUUCCCUGCGCCUGGGACGGAAUUCGGCAGCCAGGGCACUGACCCCAGGGUCAGGCCCUGGAGCUGCUGCCCGGGAAGGGAAAGCGUCUGGAAGAGAGUCGCGCAGUGUAGAGAUGCGGGUGGACGCUAUGGCGAUGCCGGCUCUUGUUGACCUGAGCGGGGGCCACGGCAGCUGGCCCGAGCCCAGGUACCACCUCCCACUGCGGCCUUGGGUCCGAGGCGGGGUACAGGUGAAGAAGGGCCCUGACACUCCCUUUCUUAGGCUAGAUGCGCAGGAAGAGCCGGCUCCGGGUUCCAGAAGCGCCAGCGAGCGGCGCCAGUCACGGUUCCUCCUUAACUCGGUCCUCUACCAGGAAUAUAGCGACGUGGCCAGCGCCCGCGAACUGCGGCGGCAGCAGCGCGAGGAGGAGGGUCCGGGGGACGAGGCCGAGGGCGCGGAGGAGGGGCCCGGGCCGCCGCGCGCCAACCUCUCCCCGAGCAGCUCCUUCCGGGCGCAGCGCUCGGCGCGAGGCUCCACCUUCUCGCUGUGGCAAGACAUCCCCGACGUGCGCGGCAGCGGCGUCCUGGCUACGCUGAGCCUGCGCGACUGUAAACUGCAGGAGGCCAAAUUUGAGCUGAUUACGUCCGAGGCCUCAUACAUCCACAGCCUGUCGGUGGCCGUGGGCCACUUCUUAGGCUCGGCCGAGCUGAGUGAGUGUCUGGGAGUGCAGGACAAGCAGUGGCUGUUCUCCAAACUGCCCGAGGUCAAGAGCACCAGCGAGAGGUUCCUACAGGACCUGGAGCAGCGGUUGGAGGCCGAUGUCCUGCGCUUCAGCGUGUGCGAUAUUGUGUUGCACCACUGUCCGGCCUUCCGCCGCGUCUACCUGCCCUAUGUCACCAACCAGGCCUAUCAGGAGCGCACCUACCAGCGGCUGCUCCUGGAGAACCCCAAGUUCCCCAGCAUCCUGGGUCGCCUGGAGGAGUCUCCCGUGUGCCAGCGUCUGCCCCUCACCUCCUUCCUCAUCCUGCCGUUUCAGAGGAUCACCCGCCUCAAGAUGCUGGUGGAGAACAUCCUGAAACGGACAGCACAGGGUUCAGAAGACGAAGACAUGGCCACCAAGGCCUUCAAUGCACUCAAGGAGCUGGUGCAAGAGUGCAAUGCCAGUGUGCAGUCCAUGAAGAGGACGGAGGAGCUCAUCCACCUGAGCAAGAAGAUCCACUUUGAGGGCAAGAUCUUCCCGCUGAUCUCGCAGGCCCGCUGGCUGGUUCGGCACGGGGAGCUGGUGGAGCUGGCCCCGCUGCCCGCGGCACCCCCUUCCAAGCUGAAGCUAUCCAGCAAGGCGGUCUACCUGCACCUCUUCAACGACUGCCUGCUGCUCUCCCGGAGGAAGGAGCUGGGGAAAUUCGCCGUCUUUGUCCACGCCAGGAUGGCUGAGCUGCAGGUGAAGGACCUGAGCCUGAAGCUUCAGGGCAUCCCUGGCCACGUGUUCCUCCUUCAGCUCCUCCAUGGGCAGCACACGAAGCACCAGUUCCUGCUGAGGGCCCGGACAGAGAGUGAGAAGCAGCGAUGGAUCUCAGCCAUGUGCCCCUCUACCCCCCAGGAGGACAGGGAGGUCAUCAUCGAGGGGGAAGCCCCGGGUGUCCUGUUGCCAGCGGGGCUAGUGCGAAGAGAGAUCAACUGGCCUGGGGCAGGCAGGGGCAGCUCUGUGAAAGCUUGAAGGAUGGGUAGGCUUGACAUAGGACAGACCAACCUCCACGAGCACAGGUAGCACCCUGGAGAUGACAUAGCCUUUUACAUCCUCCCAUUUCGUCCCCAUUUUACAAGUUAGAAAACAGAUUCAGAAAGGUAAAGUGACUUGUCCAAGUUCAGCUAGUAAGUGGCAGAGCUGGGACUGGAACCCAGGUCUGCCUCUAGCGUUGCAUCAGUUGCAAAGAGGACGGAAACCAGAGUGGCUGGGGCAUGGGGGUGGGGGUGGUAGGAUGAGGGAUCUGCUCUGUUGAGCCAGAGGCUUCUCUGGGUAUGAAAUGAGGCUGGUAAGCUAGGGUGCAGCCCAAUCAGAGAGCAUCUUGGUGUAGUGGGUACCAGGUAGCUUUGGAAGGUUUCUGAGAGAGGAUGUUAAGGCUAAGCUAAUGAAGGGGAAGGUAGGGAACUCAUUUCCACCCAGUACCUUCCAUGUGCCAGGGUGCUAGGGGCUUUGUAUAUGCCUUUAUUUUAUUUAAUCCUCAUGACGAUCCUAUUAGUCAUUAGUCAAAAAUCCUAUUCAUUUUUCCUAUCUGAGAAAACUGAGGCCCAGGAAUGUUAGGUAACCUGCAAGGUCAUACAGCCAAUAAGCUGGUCUAGCCCCAAGGCCUGUGGUUUUCCCGAUACUCCCAGCCCACCUAGUGUGGUAGACGCAGCUGAGGGCCUGGACUGGAGCUGAUUCUCUGACUUGAGCUAGAGGUCCUGUUUGGGUUGGAGGGUAAACUUCCCACUCCAAAGAGGUGGUCAGGGAAGGCCCCUGAGGGAUGGGGAGGGGCAGCCAUGAAAAGAUCUGGGGAAAAUCAUUCCUGGAAGGUGGAACAGCCAGUGCAAAGGCCCUGAAGGAGGAGGGAGCCUAGAGUGUUUGAGGGACAGCAGGGUGACAAGUGUGACUGAGCUUCAUGAGCGAAGGAGAGAGGGGAAGAUAAGGGAGGUGAGGAGGUUAGCACGGGGGGCCACACCAGACUGUGUAGGGCUUUGUAGGCUGUGGGGAGGACUUUGGAUUUUAUUCUAAGAGAAGCGGGAAGCCCUGGAGGAUUAUAAAUGGGGGAGUGAUGUGGCUUGAAUCUCAGCUGAGAAGGAGGGACUGGAGGGAACACCAGAGUAGCAUGAGGGGACAUACAAAGGGACCAUUACUGUUUUGUGGGGGCUUUCUGGGGGCAGUUAGCCCAGGAAGUCAGGAACAAAGUAUUGAAUUGAGCUGGGAAGAUGAGAGCCCAGGCACAGAAGCAGUAUUGAAGCCGGGAGAGACUGGAUUCACCUAGAACUUGUGUUUAGGGUCAGAGAAAAGAGUGGCCAGGGUGGACAGAGGAAAAGCAGCAGCAGAGACUACCCUCCCAGCCCUUAUAUUCUCCUGCUGCCUCUCCCUGCCUCCCCCUGCCCCAUCCGACACUGGGGACUCCCUCACUCUCCCUUGGGCUCUCAGACCGCCCCCAGGUUCAGUGUGUCAGGACAUACAAGGCACUGCAGCCAGACGAGCUGACCUUGGAGAAGACUGACAUCCUGGCAGUGAGGACCCGGACCAGUGAUGGCUGGCUGGAGGGGGUCCGCCUGGCAGAUGGUGAGAAAGGGUGGG